rnacentral:rRNA from 1 species
GACGAACGCUGGCGGCGUGCUUAACACAUGCAAGUCGAACGGAAAGGCCCUGCUUUUGUGGGGUGCUCGAGUGGCGAACGGGUGAGUAACACGUGAGUAACCUGCCCUUGACUUUGGGAUAACUUCAGGAAACUGGGGCUAAUACCGGAUAGGAGCUCCUGCUGCAUGGUGGGGGUUGGAAAGUUUAGGCGGUUGGGGAUGGACUCGCGGCUUAUCAGCUUGUUGGUGGGGUAGUGGCUUACCAAGGCUUUGACGGGUAGCCGGCCUGAGAGGGUGACCGGCCACAUGGGGACGGAGAUACGGCGCAGACACCGACGGGAGGCAGCGGUGGGGAAUAUUGCACAAUGGGCGGAAGCCUGAUGCAGCAACGCCGCGUGCGGGAGGACGGCCUUCGGGUUGUAAACCGCUUUCGCCUGUGACGAAGCGUGAGUGACUGUAAUGGGUAAAGGAGCACCGGAGAACUACGU